GGGCGUUUAGCUCAGCUGGCUAGAGCGCAUGGAUCACACCCAUGAGGUCGGGGGUUCAAGUCCCUCAACGCCCACCA
rnacentral:tRNA from 1 species